GACGAACGCUGGCGGCGUGCUUAACACAUGCAAGUCGAACGAUGAAGCUGGAGCUUGCUCCGGUGGAUUAGUGGCGAACGGGUGAGUAACACGUGAGCAAUCUGCCCUUGACUCUGGGAUAACUGCGGGAAACCGUAGCUAAUACCGGAUACGAGACCUGAAGGCAUCUUCGGGUCUGGAAAGAAUUUCGGUCAAGGAUGAGCUCGCGGCCUAUCAGCUUGUUGGUGAGGUAAUGGCUCACCAAGGCGACGACGGGUAGCCGGCCUGAGAGGGAGACCGGCCACACUGGGACUGAGACACGGCCCAGACUCCUACGGGAGGCAGCAGUGGGGAAUAUUGCACAAUGGGCGAAAGCCUGAUGCAGCAACGCCGCGUGAGGGAUGAAGGCCUUCGGGUUGUAAACCUCUUUUAGCAGGGAAGAAGCGAAAGUGACGGUACCUGCAGAAAAAGCACCGGCUAACUACGUGCCAGCAGCCGCAGUAA
rnacentral:rRNA from 1 species